GCUGGGAUAGCUCAGUUGAUAGAGCAUGAGACCCUUAAUCUCAAGGACAGGUGUUCAAGUCCCACAUUGGGCA